GAUGAAGAACGUAGCGAAAUGCGAUACUUGGUGUGAAUUGCAGAAUCCCGUGAACCAUCGAGUCUUUGAACGCAAGUUGCGCCCGAAGCCAUUAGGCCGAGGGCACGCCUGCCUGGGCGUCACACGUCGUUGCCCCCCCCAUCUACUCCUUCGGGAUUGCGGGGGGCGGAUGAUGGCCUCCCGUGCGCCUCGCCGCGCGGUUGGCAUAAAUGCCAAGUCCUCGGCGACGCACGCCACGACAAUCGGUGGUUGCGAAACCUCGGUUGCCCGUCGUGUGCGGUCGUCGCGCAUCGAGGGCUCGAAAAAAUUGCCGGGUUCCGGCUCGGCUUUCAACGCGACCCCAGGUCAGGCGGGGUUACCCGCUGAAUUUAAGCAUAUCAAUAAGCGGGGA
rnacentral:misc_RNA from 1 species